rnacentral:tRNA from 1 species
GGCGCGAUAGCUCAGUUGGUAAAGCAGUAGUCUCAUAAUCUGGUGACCUGGGUUCGAAACCAAGGCGCUA